rnacentral:lncRNA from 1 species
AUGAGCAUGUUGUUGAUGUUGUCUUUGUUGAUGCUGUUGAUGAUGUUGUUGAUGCUGUUGGUAAGAAGAGGCUUAUAGAAAAAGUUUUGGUGAUUUUGGUUAUGGAGGAGGAAGAGAGAGAGAGAGAGGGGGAAAAGAUGAGAGAGAAAAAGAUAGGAAGAAUAUAUAUGUAGGUGGAGGGUAUGGUGUGAACAGAAGGUGUGAAUUGCUUAACACACAAGAGAAAGGAAAAAUAUUGAUAUUGAUGGUGUGAAUUAUAUUAUCCGAGUAAAUUUCUAUUCAUCAUAAUUUUCUUUUUCUUUUCUUUUUCUUUUUCUACUUCU